ACAGGGUAGACAACGCGGGAUUGAGGAGGAGGUGCUGGACCUUGCUGGCGGCCACACGACGGCGGGGUGUAGACAACGCAAGAUUGGGGAGGAGGCACUGGACCUUGCUGGCGGCUACACAGCAGCGGCGGCGACGUGGCAGAGGUGCUAGAUUUGGCUGUCGGUGAGGACUCAACCGGUCUUGGGCGAGGUUAUCCACAUCGUGCCGCUAUUCUUCUCCCGCAAACAUCAGUUACUUGGUUCUAGCAGCUAGGGGUAGAAGAAGAUGACGAAGACCUCGCCGACGGGGCCGCUGCCCCCUCCCCCACCGCAGCUGGCGCCGCGUCUCCCCCUCCUGGUCACGCCGUCGCCGACAGAGAGGGGAGGGGAGGGGGAGGAGGAGGAGGAAGGGUAGGGGAGGACGCAUCUGGAGGGAGAGGAGGAGACGCAAAUGACUUAAAAAGGCGUGGAGAUAUCGAGGAGAUAAGGGCGGGGAGGCGCACACGUGCGACCCGGCGUGUUUUUUCGGAUUUGUAGUCCCAGUUGGUGCUACCAAUCGGGACUAAAGUGAUGAUAUUUAAUUCCGGUUUAUAAUACCAAUCGGGACUAAAGAUCCUUGGGGCCUGACACGGCCUAUCAACUUUUUGAAGCGGGACAAAAAAAAUGAUCUUACCAACCAGGACUAAAUGAUUGUAUUUACGGUUAAUGAUGGUCGUGGUGGUGCGUAUGUGAUAGAAAAAAAAUCGAAGUACAUGGAGCAGAGCCAACUAAGAUUUUAUUCGCAAGGGGAUGGAUAUAAGAAGGAAACACCAGCUUUGCUGAGUGGGACAUCAUUUAUCUUCCCAGAGACCAAGGGAGGCGAGGAAUUCACGAUCUUGGGAUUAAGGUUAUUGCUUUGCUUAGCAAGUGGUUACUUACCAGUUACCACCGAUGAAAUGUGGCAAUAGUUGCUACGCAAUAAAUAUUUGGGAUCAAUCUAUCUAUCGCGGUUGCCACAUCAAUCUAACUCAUGUACGUUUUCUCCUACAAUUGAUCGUAAAAAUCAAUUCUCCACUCCUCCAUCAUCAUUUUCCCCAUGAUUUCUUAUUUCAAUUCUGGCUUUAAUUUGCUAAAUUUAAUCUCUAUUUAACCGCCGCUGAUAAUGGCCGAUCGAUUAGUUUGAUUUGCUCUAAUUUUGGAAAAAUGGGAAAGAGGAGAUCGAGUAGAUCAAAAGCCAUAUAUCAAUUUUGGGAGAUCAAGAAAGAUUCGGUCGAAUUUGAUGGGGAGGAUCAGUUCCGAUAUUUUACGGGCACGGGAGUACUUUCUACUUUCUGGAGGUUGAAGACGGUAGUAGGAUAUGCGAGUUGAAAAAAUGACUUUACCCGUUUUAACGCACGGGUAUUUUUUUUCUAGUAUAUAUAUGUUUGGGAGAUGGAUUUUAUGUGUUCCUAAAGAGAUGGAAAAUCUAAUUUUGAUGGGUGCAAUUGUUGAUCCAUUUGGCUAAGCAUGAACGGAAUCGUUUGUAAUAACAAGAUGGUGUCUUUUCUUUUA